GCGGUGAGCAUGUGGUUUAAUUCGAUGAUACGCGAGGAACCUUACCUGGGCUCAAAUGUAUGUUGACGUAUUCUGAAAGGGAUACUUCUUCGGACAAUAUACAAGGUGCUGCAUGGUUGUCGUCAGCUCGUGCCGUGAGGUGUCGGGUUAAGUCCCAUAACGAGCGCAACCCCUAUCAUUAGUUGCCAUCAGGUCAAGCUGGGGACUCUAAUGAAACUGCCUACGCAAGUAGUGAGGAAGGUGGGGAUGACGUCAAAUCAGCACGGCCCUUACGUCCAGGGCUACACACGUGCUACAAUGGCCGGUACAAAGGGCAGCUACCUGGUGACAGGAUGCUAAUCUCCAAAGUCGGUCUCAGUUCGGAUCGGAGUCUGCAACCCGACUCCGUGAAGUUGGAUUCGCUAGUAAUCGCGCAUCAGCCAUGGCGCGGUGAAUACGUUCCCGGGCCUU
rnacentral:rRNA from 1 species